rnacentral:lncRNA from 1 species
CUAUGAUUCCAUAAUGUGCCACCUACAUCAAGGCAUAAAGGAUCUCUGCACAGGUGUAACUCAAGCAGUGUCCCUGCUCAAAGAGCAAUCCUAUCGUGCAACCAAGUGUCAUGCAGGGAGAACUCAAGAGACUCUUACUCUACUCACUAUUUAUGAGAACCCAGUCCUACACAGACGCAGCCAGCAGGCAGAAACUGUCUCCAGAAGCAAUAAGUGAAUAAUGUGAAACGAAAGAGAAGAAAAAUGAACCUCAACUGAAUGAAUACCCUGGAAGGUAAGGGAGCAGAGAGAGAGAAAAAAAGAGAAACGAAAAAAAAAAAACAACUAACCAACCAAACAAAAAAAAACAAUAAAAAAAACAAGAGCAACACUCUAUUUCUCAUUGGUAAGAUAGCCACUUGGCAGAAGGCAGUAUAUUACAAUUUUGUGGAAAAGGAUACAUCUGGAGUCAAAAAACAUGGAUGGAAAAGGGACUGCAAACAUCAUCACAUCAGUACAUCACAAAGGAAACCUGUCUGGCUUUCUAAUUUAGGUAUUGUAACAUAAGCAGAUCAAAAACGUUCUACAGAUGCAAGCUAAAAUAGAAAACUAGAUUAUGAACUGAACUGCAAGGUUACGUCUGAAAGUACUUUUUUUUUUUCCUUUGAGUGAAGGUGAGAAUGAAAAAACGAAAACUAUUUGGCUGAUCAAACAAAACAUAAGACUUUCCAUCUACUGCUCACAUUUCUUACUUUAUUUAAGGAAAAGUUAAUAAAGGACUAUUUCUGAGAAAAAUCAGAUAUUAUCUCCACGAUAGGAAGUGCCUUUUAUCACAAGGUAGCUCUGGGUUAUCUAUAAGGCAAUGAAACUGAAAAGGGGGAAAAAAAUGUCUUCAGUGUCUUUAAAAACAUAACCAAGCUAUAGCACUUGUUAGAAAACAGCAUAGAAUUAGUAAGAGAGGAAAAGAAGGCAGAAAUAUUUUAAAAGGUGUAAUCUACCUUUUGGUGGUUCUCCCAAUCCUUUUUCUUCCAUCUCCAUAUGGGGGGACCUUUAUUCUUCUGCCUGUUUCCUUUCUGCAAACUGAUUUAAAAACCCAUUGCAAUCUUUCUCCUGAUCUCAGCAUGCUUUGGAUCAGACCUUACUCUAAUAGGCAUAGACUAAUUUGAGCGAGACAUUUAUAUUAUCUUCCUGCUGCAGUCAUGUGCAAAAGUUAUAUUUCACUUGUUUGAUGGUUUCGGUUAAUGAAGAAUGGCCUCUGCUCAUUUCAGCUCAUGCCCAAAUAUACCAGCUGGAUGUAACUACGAAUGAGCUCUCAUUAUAAAGUUGUCAUAAUAAAGAUGACCUACAAUUUUUGUGAGAAAAUACUGGACUUCUAGAUGCCAUAUUAUCUGUUCACUCUUCUAUGGCUGAAAAUGUCAACAAACAAAAACAAGCUCUCAUUCUCUAGCAAGAAGUCUCAACAGACUCAGAGCAAACAUCUGCAAGAUAAUUCAAUCAACUAAAUGAUAUUAACAUCUUCCAAAUUUCUAUGGUACAGCUUUUUAAACUCCAGUCUGAUAUAUCUUUACUGGAUGACAGUUAAUCUUCUGAUUUUGUGAAAAAAGUUUAAAAAAAUUCACCAAAGAGACAAAAUUGAAGGUAAUGGAAUAAAGGAAAUCAGGAAUAAGGAGAGUGCAAGAAUUAGAUCAAUACGAACAGGAAUUAGUAGUAUCAGUGCCUGCUAACAUUAAUAAAAAUUUCCCAGUGCUUUGGGCAACCAGGUCCAGAUGCCAGGAGCUUCCUCACAAUAAUUUAGCUUUCAAAAAAAUCUGAAUGAAAAAGUAAAACUUUAUGAAUGUGGCAGAAAAUAAAAAAUUCUUCAGUAUUGCUCAUAUUAUAGAACCAGCAUGGAUAUCAUUCUUGUCAGUUAACAGAUGCAGAUAAUUAAAUCUCUGACUCUCUUCACAGGUAAUGGGUAAAAUAAUGCCUAGACAUGAUUGUAAUUAAUUAAAAUAAAAUCAAAACUAUACAACUCUGAAGAUGCUAAAGCACAUGUUUGGCCUAUCAUUUUGCCUACAAAUAAUUUCCUAUGGAAUACAAAUUGUUUCAGCUGUAAAAAUAAAUACAAUAAUGAUGUAAGAUGAAAAGAUGAAGGGCCUGUAAAUGUUUGUUUGAUAUUAGAAGUGCUUGAUGACAUUCUAAUGCAAGGUUUUAAUUGAGGACUUAUUAAUAAUCACUGCAAAAAUUGCACUUACCAGUAGAACCAGACAACUCAAAACAAAUUCUACUAUUUUGAAAAUAGCCUGGUGCAAGAUACAAAGCACACAAAAAAGUGCUUUGUAAUUAGGAAAUACAAUUUUUCAUGAAUAAAAAAUACAAUUAUAAUACAUUACAAAGGCAAGAUAUUGCUCUCAAGCUUCUUACAAAGCAUCUGAAAGACCCAUUUGUGGUUCUCCAGCUAUCACAAUUUUGUACUAAAAAAUCAUAGAAAAACAAGAGACUAAUGCAGGAAAUUGUGGAUGCUUGUAUGUGUGAUGUUAGGCAAACUUUUAGGAACAUUUGCUUUGAAAUAUUAAAGCUGCUCAUUCUGAUGAGUUUUUAUUACCCAUUAAAACAUUUGGUCAAGAAUUAUUUCUGAUUGUUAAACUAAAGCACUUCAUUGAGGAAAACACAUGGCAUUUAGGUUGAGCAACAGCUUCAAGUCCCUUCAAUUUUGUGCAAGCUCAUUCUGCUAGACUUUCUCUUCAGUGCUUGAUCAGUUAACUAUCAUCUUACGUGUCAUGAGCCAAAGAACUAAAGAGCACUAGAAUUGACUGUAUUGAACAAAGCAUGGCAAUCACUGACACUGCUCUAAGGAGACUGCUCUGCAGAACACCUGGUGACCUGCCAGCUAGAGAGAUGGACCCUCAUGAAUUCUUUGUACUUGCUAAGCUUCAGAGCAUGUGUAAUAAAUAUUCCCAAGAAAAACUCUCAUUUGUAUGUGAAGUCAGUGUUUUCCAGAACGAAUGAUGAAUAUGGGGAAGUACUUCUGUAUUUUUUAGGAAAGUUUGUCCCUUUUCUUCAUGUUUAUAUAAUUAAUUAGCCUACUCUAAACAAAAUUAUUUUAUUUACAUCAGUUUUCUAAUAGCAAAAUGUUAAAGGAUUUUUGUGAGAAAGCGGCAACAGUAUAUACUUCAGAUUCUUUCCUCCUCCACACAGUCACUUCAUGAUUUUCAGCUAUGGUUUUAUAGCCUUAUUUUGUUCCCUCGAGCUCCAAGACCUAACACUAAGGGGCACCAGAGAACUGAACUGCAUCUGUUCAGAUCCAUCAGGAACCAGCUGCUGCAACGAACCCAGUAAGAUUCAGCGUGCUGCGUGGAGAGGGAAUGGGGCUUUGGGGGAAACAUAACAGGCGAGACAAGAGUUCUGCAUGACACAUCCUCUGUUACAGAAAACAGACUGGAAGAGCAAGGAUGCACACAUCUCAGGAAUGCUGAAUGUCUUCUCAUCGUAGUCUAUUGUGGGGUUUUGGAAAAGAACUCUCACUCUAUUUUUCCAGACAAAAGUUGGGAAAUGUGUGAAAAUAUUGAGAUUUUUCAUAGAAGACAAGUAUAUCUAAAAAAUCUUAGCAGAUUGGAAGUGUAUUUUGUUUGAUCCUAGUCAAGCGUAAACAGAGGAGCACAGAUUUACACUUGCAUUCUUAUAUUAACUUUCGGAUGAAGUCUAGAUACCAGCUUUUUUUAUUACCAAUUCUGAAAAUUCAACUAUGGAGAUAAAGAACAUUACUGAUUUCCCUGUGGAUGGCAAAAUUGCCUAUUACCCUCUCAUUUUCCCAACAGGACCACAGGAAAAUAAUAUACAUUAAAAAAAAAAUCAAGCCUAUUCACCAGCUGAGUACUCCAAAACUGACUUCCUUCACCUCAUUUGACUGCCAAAUCAAAAAUAAUCAUGCCAGUGCCACAUAUCUUAUACAACGCAUUCUGAAAAUCUGAAAAUGUCAGGUUUCCUGAUAUCAAAACCUGUUGCUUAUUCCAGUUGUUUUUUUUUUUAGUUCUGUUUUUUUUUUUCUUUCCUGUUUCAUUCCCGCUUUUCCACUGAAAAAUGUAUAAGAAGUAAAAUACAAUUAAAUAAAUGACACUGUGAGUUAGACGACUCACGUUGUUCUGAUUAAAAGCUCGGUCACGGUCAUCUUUCAGAAUGGAAAGCAUUACAAAAAUGCAGUUACACUACAGGACCCAGUAUGUCAAAUCAUUGGAAUCAAAGCUCCAAGACCAAAAUUAAUAAUGUACCAUUAGCAGAUGGUGAGAGCUGAUUGACUAAGAAUUGCAAACUGCAUUCUGAUUGAGUACUGUAGACUUUUCUUACAAUACCAGCAUUUAUUUCUGUCUUUUUAAAUAGUCUAUCAAAAUAAAAUCCACAGUUAACUUCUGCUCAGUGUAGAAUUUGACUCAUAGAUCUUUUAAGGCCAGAUGAGACCAUUAUGAUAAUGUGCCUUGACCCCCAGCACUACACAGGGCAUAAAGCCUCACUCAGCAAUUCCUCCCUCAGGUCUGCAUCUUCUGUUUGAGUUAUACCAUUUCCUUCUGAAAGACAUCCAACCUCACUUUAUUGCUCAAAGUGAUGGAAAUUCCAGUACAUUCUGUGGUAAACUCACCCCUUGGUUAAUGACAUCUGCAGACAGAAAAGUUUCAAGUUUUUUCCUUUUCUGACCUGGUCUAGUUUCAGAUUUAAUUUCACAGAACUAGAGAGCCAUCAGCUAUUAGAAAUGAUAUCACUUUAUAGACCAAGGAUAAAGCUUUCUUUAACCAAAUAACGGGGAAAGCUAUCUGGUCCUUUCCCUCUGGAUGGAGAAAACCUCGGGAAUGAGGAUAGGCAUGUCCUCUAAGACUUUCUCCAAUCCAAUGGGGAAAUAAGAACAUACAUCUUCGUUGUGCUCUGACUAGAAGCAUACAUGAUGUCUUGAGAGUAAGACUUUGUAGCACUAGGCUAGUAGAGGUCUUCAUAUGAUAACAUUCAACCUCUUCUCUUGUCUUGUGAGGGAUCCAAAUGCACCCGUUGGUGUUACAUUUAGGUGCCUCAGCAAGCAAGACAAAGGUAAUUCAGGGAGUCACCAAACAGUAUGUUCAUUAAAGCAAGAGAUUCUACUGGUAGGGUCCAGAAGUUAGUGGGAUCUCUGCUGUGGGUGUGAGAUCACCAGCUAUCUGGCUUUCAUCACCCUAGUAAGACAGUUAACCAUGUUCUCUAUCUCUCUCUCCAGGCAGUGACAUCCAAAAGGUGAAACACAAAGACUGGCAGCACUUACUCAGCUCAAGUGUGCCAGACCAGGGUUCUGCAAAACUUCUCAUGUGGGAUCAGCUUGGGGUUUAUGGGCAUUUCCCUGCUUACCAACAGGAAGGCAAGGAAGCUAUUUUCAGGCAUUUUACUGUGGGGCCAAAACCUGCUGGGAUCCAGUCCCUGGGGUUUCAUGUGCCAUUUGUGAUUUGCUAGGACCAGGACAGACACGACAGCAGCCGUCACCCUGAAUGGACAUGGCAUUUGGGGACACAGAGGAAGGAGACCCUGCAGAGGAGAGAGGGCUGGAGUGUGGAUUUGAG